UCCUCCCCCUUUCUUCGUGCUUAACACAUGCAAGUCGAACGCUGAAGCUCAGCUUUUGUUGGGUGGAUGAGUGGCGAACGGGUGAGUAACACGUGAGUAACCUGCCUCCUUCUUUGGGAUAACGCCCGGAAACGGGUGCUAAUACUGGAUAUUCACUGGUCUUCGCAUGGGGGUUGGUGGAAAGGGUUUUUCUGGUGGGGGAUGGGCUCGCGGCCUAUCAGCUUGUUGGUGGGGUGAUGGCCUACCAAGGCUUUGACGGGUAGCCGGCCUGAGAGGGUGACCGGUCACAUUGGGACUGAGAUACGGCCCAGACUCCUACGGGAGGCAGCAGUGGGGAAUAUUGCACAAUGGGCGCAAGCCUGAUGCAGCGACGCCGCGUGAGGGAUGGAGGCCUUCGGGUUGUGAACCUCUUUCGCUCAUGGUCAAGCCGCAACAAUGGUUGUGGUGAGGGUAGUGGGUAAAGAAGCGCCGGCUAACUACGUG
rnacentral:rRNA from 1 species